rnacentral:RNase_P_RNA from 1 species
AGUAAGCCAGACAAUCGCUGCUGAUUUAUCAGGAGAGGAAAGUCCGAGCUUCAUAGGGCAGGGUGCUGGGUAACUCCCAGUGGAGGUGACUCUAAGGAAAGUGCAACAGAAAUAUACCGCCAGAACAAGUUUACUUGUGAGUUUAGAUUUAUCUAACUGGUAAGGGUGGAAAGGUGAGGUAAGGGCUCACCAGCGUACUGGUGACUUUACGGCUAUGUAAACCCCAUCUGAAGCAAGAUCGAAUAGAGAGACAUAUGGGGCUGCCCGUCCCGUCUCUGGGUGUAUCGCUUGAGCUUAUUGGAAACAAUAGGCCUAGAUAGAUGAUUGUCUAAUACAGAACUCGGCUUAUAGACUUGCUCGU